rnacentral:rRNA from 1 species
UGUUUUGGCCAUUCCACCCUGAACCUGCCCAGUCUCAUGUGAUCUUGGAAGCUAAGUAGGGUCGAGCCUGGUUAGUACUUGGAUGGGAGAAUUAUAAAUUCUGUUAUUUAUAUUUUACAAGCCAGGAAAUUAAGAAUC